GAUUGUUGAUCCUGGCUCAGAGCGAACGCUGGCGGCAGGCUUAACACAUGCAAGUCGAGCGGGCGUAGCAAUACGUCAGCGGCAGACGGGUGAGUAACGCGUGGGAACGUACCUUUUGGUUCGGAACAACACAGGGAAACUUGUGCUAAUACCGGAUAAGCCCUUACGGGGAAAGAUUUAUCGCCGAAAGAUCGGCCCGCGUCUGAUUAGCUAGUUGGUAGGGUAAUGGCCUACCAAGGCGACGAUCAGUAGCUGGUCUGAGAGGAUGAUCAGCCACAUUGGGACUGAGACACGGCCCAAACUCCUACGGGAGGCAGCAGUGGGGAAUAUUGGACAAUGGGGGCAACCCUGAUCCAGCCAUGCCGCGUGAGUGAUGAGGGCCCUAGGGUUGUAAAGCUCUUUGUGCGGGAAGAUAAUGACGGUACCGCAAGAAUAAGCCCCGGCUAACUUCGUGCCAGCAGCCGCGGUAAUACGAAGGGGGCUAGCGUUGCUCGGAAUCACUGGGCGUAAAGGGUGCGUAGGCGGGUUUUUAAGUCAGGGGUGAAAUCCUGGAGCUCAACUCCAGAACUGCCUUUGAUACUGAAGAUCUUGAGUCCGGGAGAGGUGAGUGGAACUGCGAGUGUAGAGGUGAAAUUCGUAGAUAUUCGCAAGAACACCAGUGGCGAAGGCGGCUCACUGGCCCGGUACUGACGCUGAGGCACGAAAGCGUGGGGAGCAAACAGGAUUAGAUACCCUGGUAGUCCACGCCGUAAACGAUGAACGCCAGCCGUUAGGCAGCUUGCUGCUUAGUGGCGCAGCUAACGCUUAAGCAUCCGCC
rnacentral:rRNA from 1 species